ensembl:lncRNA
UUCCAGUGGCGCGCGCAGUACCUCAGGCCUUGUGGUGCUGCUGCUCUGUGGGGGAGUUGGGGCAGGUGCUGCUGUCAUGAGGUCCCGUGCACUUUGUCAUCCCAGGACAAAACCCAGAAUUUUCCUUGAAGUGCUUAUGGACAGCAGGAUUUUCUGUUUGUGGAUAAACACAAGAAGCAACAAGCCUGUGGUUCUGAAUGGCCUAGGAACUGUUCUUUCCAGAGAUAGGAAAACCUUGACAGUGUUCAGGAGCUCAGACAGGUACGAGGUAGUGGCACAUCUGCUUGCACCAGUCAAGGCUGAGCAGCACCUCCCUUUCCAUGCCUUCUAGAUGGGAGGGAUGAGGAGAAGGGCAGUCUCUGCAAAGGGAAGAUGAAGCCAGGUGGCCUGCUGGGACCAUAUGGAGGGAUGGAAAUGAGAAUGCUGGGUCGUGUGGCUUCAGAUGGGGAAACAGAGUCUGCUUGCUUUGUCUGCAUGCAUGAGGGUACCAAGCUGAAAUUUUCUGGUGCAGUAUUGUGUGCUCCCACUGUUUCUCUGAAGCAACCAAUGCUCCUGUUUCCUGCAAUAUCUGUGCAACACAGCCAACCACCAACACCUGGAAAGGGUGUGAUUGUUUGGAUCAUGGCUUUUCUGGCUGUGUUCAUACUUGGGCAGCAGUGACCUCAUGAGUAGAAUUGUCUAAUUCAUACAGAGGCUGCAGGCAGAAGGUGCAGUGAAAGGUUUGACAAGAAUGGGGAAAAGAAGGAAAAAAGAUGAUGAGCUGUCUGGAAACAUGAGUGCAGUAAGGAACUAAGAUUCUUCUUCCAUCAGUUCAGAUUCCCCUGUCUCUGCAGGAAAGCUGCAUGAAUCAAAUUUCUGUGUGUAGAGGUUGUGAAGACUGGUCAGCAUCUGUUGCCUUCAUAGCUUGGGAGAAAAGAGUGUUUAUUCAUUUGUAACGUAGCUACAUAAGAGGUGAUUCAUUUUUUGUCAUUAUUUGGUGUUUAAUUUGCCUUCUGUAGGAUAUGAAUUCAGAUGUUAUGAUGGUUUUGCUCCUUUACAAGAAUUAAAAGCUCUUCCAAUCAUUUGAC